rnacentral:rRNA from 1 species
AUGGUUCCUGUGCCCGAAGCUAAUGCUUCUGAAGAGAUUCCGGCUGCAACAGUCGAUGACAGACAAGAAGAACCUGUUGCCACACACCCCACAAAUCAAGAAGUUGUUCUCGAGGAGAACGUAUCUGUGCCCGACCCUCCAGCUACACAAGUGGAGGUUGAGAAUACUGAGGCGGCCACCAAUAACGCCACUGAAGCCAAUGACGUUGUCAUGGCUGAAGCCAAUGUGGCACCUCAAGUCAAUACAGUGAAUGAAGCCAAUGCUGCACCUGCAUCCAAUGUGCAGCCUGAAGCUAAUGCAGAUGCCACUGCUCCUGUUCCGCCUCCAAGGCCACACACAAUUAAGCAUGCAUUCUAUCAAGGCGAGCUUGUUCCUGUAUGA